GCCGCGCUACUAAAAACCCUGCUCGCCUUUUCUUUGUUGUCUUCAUGUUGAAGAUCCUGGAUGGCAGGCCGGUUCUCAGGUUCUCAGUAGCUCUUUGUAAACGCACACAGAGAGAGAUCGGAGAGAUGUGUGUGUAAAGUGAACGGUUAAAGGAUAAGUCCCCCCAAAACGAGCAUCUAAUCAUUAUCUAUCUUAUCCCAUGUCAAAAGAAAGCCAGGUAAUGUUUCUUAGUCGAGAGAAAUCCAAUUUUCUAAAAGUGUAGAAAUGUGAGAAAGGCGUUAUAAUUAUAAACCAGAGCUAACUGAAUGUGUUCUGACCUAUCGACAGAAGAGUACACAAAGGACUUUUUCGCUAUGGACGCCAGGUUGAACAGUGGUGAGAAGACCAGUCAUGUUUGGAUGCCAAACACUCGUAAAGAGCUGAUGCAGCCGCCAUAGUUGUUCGUAGCAAUGCUGGGAAUUUGGUGAUGUGUACGGUGACUGUAUGAUGUGACUCUACACUGUCUCUCAUCCCUGUGGGGGAAAAAAAAAGAAAAGCUGAAUCAAACAGAACAAGCAGUAGCACAAGCCAAGGACCAGCACUUAGUUCGGUCUGGUUGAAAGCGGGUAAAUAAGUGCUACAAAUUCAAACGCAAACACUUCAACACUCACAGAUGAGAGUUUGUGUUUUACCCUGUCAAAAACAUUCAAACUACAUGAAAAAUGAUGCUCAUGAAUCACAACAAGGAUUCAGCUCAUGAUGACAGUUUCACAACUACACAACAGUCAACACCACGACAUCAACUUACAAGACAGCAGGAGAGUGAACAUGUCAGCCAGCAGCCUCAUGACCUUUAAGUUAGCCAACUGUUAGCUUAGCAAAGCGAACACCAAAUGAACAAUGUCUAAACUUCAACUCAUGAAAGCCUACAUGUUGGCACAAGGAAAGAAAAUACUUAAUUUGGUAAAGAACACCAAUUUUUGGCAUCUACUCUGUUAAACUCAAAUUCAGAUGCAUUUCCGCCCUGAAACUUCCAUAUAAAAACCUCAGAAACACAGAAAACAGCUCAGCAAGUCUCAUUUUAUCAUCAGAGAACAAGAAUUAUGUCUUUAUGUUAUUCUCCGAUCAUGUCUUCCUGUGAUCAUGUGACCUCCUGGCUUGUUUGUGCUGAACAGAUUCAGCCUCAUUCAGCUGGAAGGGGGCUCAUCGCUGACACCAUGCUGAUCUCAGUCCUCUAUCUGUCGCUUCUUUUACACUCAGGUCUCACAGUCGUGGUUCUUCAGUCCAGAGAUCAAGUGUCCAACCCAGGAGACUCAGUGACGCUGCAGUGCAGCAUGGGUCCAGGGAUCAACAUGGGCAGCUACACCAUGUUCUGGUACCGACAAACCCACCACGGAGCUCCAGUGGAGUUCAUCAUCAGAGAGUACGGUCAAACCGACGGGCACUUCCAGUCCUUUCUCAGAACAACGCAAAACAGCUUCACUCUUGAAAUAACUGGGCUGCUUCUCAAUGACAGCAGCACCUACUACUGUGCUGCCAGUCACAGUGAUGCACACAGAGCAGACCGUCAUACAAAUAACAAGACUGACUGUCACAGAUGGCACACAGGCAGGAAGGAGCUGUGGUUUGCUGGGUUUGCUACACUGAAGCACAGUACAGUACAAUUUUCACAGCAUCCCAACUUUUUGGGGGGAAUUGAGGUCAAAGUAUAAUUCAAUCAGUCUGAGAGGUUUUCGUCCAUGUCAGAUCACAACAUUUUAUAUCAACCGUCCUGCGAGAAGUCCUCAGACUUCUGACACUUCUGACAUGACGCUUUUCGCUUUAGCAAGGAACUCAAAACGUGCAGUUGCAGCUCAACGUCCACUAGGAGACGGAGGCUGUACAGAGAAGCUUGUACGAACCUGUGAAACUAUAUGAACGUAUGAAAAAGUUCCUGGUUAGAGAAACACAGCUUUGAUCAUAGCAGCGCAGUCAGGUCUGAUUUUGUAAAGUCUGGAUAACUCUGGGAUCACCGUGGCAAUGAUCGUCUUCUUGGCUGCAGCUCUGUUCUUCUCCAGUAAGAACACUUUUAAAUCAGCUAAGAGGAUUUUAACCAACAGAUUUUCUUGCUCACUGUAGUUUGUUCCCAUUUUUUUCCCUUGUUUUACAGAUUUCUCCUUCUGUGUGAAAC